UCAGCAAUUCAGCAGUCCCAAACCUUCCCCUUUGUGCCUUUAAUAAAGGAAUAAUGUGAAAACCAAUGAAAACUAAAGGGUGUUCGAGCCGUGCAUUUUUUCUCUGCAUGGGUGAACAAAUUUUGGUUUUCUUGGAUUAGUCACUGUGUAAGAAUGCAAAGAAGGAGAAACCAAGCAGCAAUGAUGUCUUUUCUUUAUAUUUAAGACAUGCAUAGUGAUUAAAAGUGCAGCCGAAAGAAAGGACAAAAGAUAUCAAGGUUUCCAGGAGGCCCUUUCAAAGCCGCAGUUACAACUCAAGUGUGAGACCUGGCUGGGAUUUUACUGCUUUAAACAUGUUCCGCUUCGACUCUAAAGGCACGGCUGCUCUUCAUGCAGUGGCGGCAGUGGUGUUUCAGGCAAGGAGGGUGUUUGCUCUCAGCCCUUGGCUUUUGUGAGGAGAAAACCCCUGGUUUUGGUAGAAAGCACGCUUACACCAAGGGAAGCCUGAGCCUCAUUGGGCUGAAGAUGAAGCUUCACCCUUGUGAAGGUUCUUGAGGGCCUUUGGAGGUUGUUGGUGGCCAUGUCCUGGGGCCAAGUGCCAUCUGAGACGACAUGAGAAAGAGGCAGUGACUGACCGGGGACGAGUGAGCAGUGUCAUCAGGAUUCACUGUGCGAAGGAGGAUUUGGCAGCAUCUGCAAGGAGCCAUCUGGUUGGAGCCAGUUUUGCGGUUACUGGCUGAAGUAACUCGGCAUUCUGGGAGAAAGGUGAAGAGUACACGGUGAAGAAGACUAGGAGCCUUCCUCCAAAAGACCCCGGCUCACAACCUCCGGAUGGCAGUACACAUGCAGCAAGAGGAGGAGACAGGAUAAUGAGUUCCCAGAAAUAAUUAUAAUAAUCACACCUAUUCUUAGAAGUAAUUGUAAUAACCCAGCCUAUACUAAUGAAUAUGCAUGUUUUUGUAUCAUAAAUGAUGCCUGCUUCAUGAUGUGGGGUGCAAGCUCGGAGGAGCGAUACCCCUUGCACCCAGUGCUGCAAUAAACAUACCUGCUUUAUAA